GACGAACGCUGGCGGCGUGCUUAACACAUGCAAGUCGAGCGAUGAAACACCUUCGGGUGUGAAUUAGCGGCGAACGGGUGAGGAACACGUGAAGAAUCUGCCUUCAACUCUGGGAUAACUCCGGGAAACCGGGGCUAAUACCGGAUAUGAGCCUUGAUCGCAUGAUCGGGGCUGGAAAGUUUUUCGGUUGAAGAUGACUUCGCGGCCUAUCAGCUUGUUGGUGAGGUAAUGGCUCACCAAGGCGACGACGGGUAGCCGGCCUGAGAGGGCGACCGGCCACACUGGGACUGAGACACGGCCCAGACUCCUACGGGAGGCAGCAGUGGGGAAUAUUGGGCAAUGGAGGAAACUCUGACCCAGCGACGCCGCGUGAGGGAUGAAGGCCUUCGGGUUGUAAACCUCUUUCAGUAGGGAAGAAGCGAAAGUGACGGUACCUACAGAAGAAGCACCGGCUAACUAUGUGCCAGCAGCCGCGGUAAUACAUAGGGUGCAAGCGUUGUCCGGAAUUAUUGGGCGUAAAGAGCUCGUAGGUGGUUCGAUACGUCGGAUGUGAAAAUCAGGGGCUCAACCCCUGACCUGCAUCCGAUACGGUCGCGCUAGAGUUUGGUAGGGGAGACUGGAAUUCCUGGUGUAGCGGUGGAAUGCGCAGAUAUCAGGAGGAACACCGAUGGCGAAGGCAGGUCUCUGGGCCAAUACUGACACUGAGGAGCGAAAGCGUGGGGAGCGAACAGGAUUAGAUACCCUGGUAGUCCACGCCGUAAACGGUGGGCGCUAGUUGUGCGAACCUUCCACGGUUUGUGCGACGCAGCUAACGCAUUAAGCGCCCCGCCUGGGGAGUACGAUCGCAAGAUUAAAACUCAAAGGAAUUGACGGGGCCCCGC
rnacentral:rRNA from 1 species